rnacentral:rRNA from 1 species
UACGGAGGGUGCAAGCGUUGUUCGGAAUCAUUGGGCGUAAAGCGCACGUAGGCGGGUUUGUACGUUGAUUGUGAAAUCCCAGGGCUCAACCUUGGAAUUGCAGUCAAAACUGCAGAUCUUGAAUACUUGAGAGGGUGGGAGAAUUCCUGGUGGAGAAGUGAAAUUCGUAGAGAUCAGGAGGAAUACCGGAGGCGAAGGCGCCUGCCUGGCAAGAUAUUGACGCUGAGGUGCGAAAGCGUGGGUAGCAAACAGG